AAAAUCAAUAAAAUAUUAAACAAAUAUUAUUGAAGAAAAUACAUAAUGCCUAUUUAAUUAUUUUACCAUAACAUGACAUAUAUUGUUGACAAAGCAUUACUAUCAACUGAACUGCGCUCAGAAUCGUUUUUUCGUCAGCAAUGGUUUAUCGUUGUUUACAGAUAUGCAUUAAAUUACCUUUAACAGUAGCUGCACCCGUUUCCAUUAUCCUAGGACGUCUUUUAAUUAGAAA